rnacentral:lncRNA from 1 species
AUGUGUGAAGUGCAGCUGGAGCACGCAGCGUUUACUCACGCCCAGAGUCUUGAUCAUGAUGCUGGCAUCAUAAAGAAGGUUGACAUUUGUUUUGCUGUAAGAAAACUCGAGAUACAUAUGGUGAUAUGUCAUUUAUGUAGGGGCCAGUCUGGAACACAGCUUUGGUCUAAAAAGCAUUCACUUCGUGUUCAUCAUACACCAACUUAACGGGUGAUUGAGAAUCUUCUGGCUGGAGAACGUGUUUUCAUUACCAGCAGGUGGUAAGCUUUCUGAGGACAGCGGAAUACCAGAAGCUCCCUCUUGGUAUGGUGCCCUUGCAAGGAACAGGUGUUCAGUCAGUAACUAUUGCUUUGAGAUGAAGUUUCUCUGACUCUGCUCUAUUUGUGGUUUGGAAAUUCAUGUGCUAACAGGGGCUGUAUCUAUAGGAGAUUGAUGCCCGAUUUACUUUGUCACUCUCUUCAGGGCCGUUACAGCAGAAUUAGAGAGUUUCAGCAGCCUAAUUUGUGCUUUGACCUGAAAGUUGUGGUUUGUGAUAUUUGUGACAUUCUUAGGGACCUUAGGGAAGCCCUGUUAACUCAGAUAAGGUAAAUUUCACCAGAUGAAAACCUUGGAUUUGGAUUCAACCUACUAGCCCAGCCAUUAGAAUUCACAGAAAGCAUCCCUGGAAGAGGCAAAGGAAGCGUCUUAGACCACCUGACAUGGUUUUCGUUAUUCAGAUCAUCACAUUAUAACUUCUUCCUUCAGUGUGCAAUACUUUUCAGAUCCUCCCUACCAUGACAUGAUUUUCAGUUUCAUCCUUCCUUUUGGGUUCUAUUUACCUGGUUGAUUAACUGUAUUUGUCUCAUACCCUGAAAGGCAAUUUUUUCUAACAUUUGGAUGCAAUAUUCCCUGUAAGAUUCCCAAGUUUACAAAUGCAUUGUUACUGCUGAAAUCUUGAUAUUUCACUUGGGUAAAACUGAAAGAAUGAUCAUUAUCUAAAUACCGAUAACUUUCCCUGUUUGAAAUCUUUCCAUUGUGUAAGGUUAUACUUGAUACAACUUUUAAGAUGGUUAAAUUGCAUUCUAUUAACCCAUAUGAGUGUAUUCCUGUAAG